GGGUGCGAUCAUACCAGCACUAAAAGCACAGGAUCCCAUCAGAACUCCGAAGUUAAGCUUGCUUGGGCGAGAGUAGUACUAGGAUGGGUGACACCCUGGGAAGUCCUCGUGUUGCACUUC
rnacentral:rRNA from 15 species